AUUUCUUCCUAGUAGGUACUUUCCUUUUUUAGGAUGUACCUAACUGUAGUCGGUUUCACUGCGUUUGGCGGUGUGACUGAAAAUUUGUAGCUUUGCUUGCGCAUCGCAGCAAUGUAGUAAAACUAAUCAUUGCAAGUGAUAGCAGCAUGCUCUUCUUUAAU
rnacentral:misc_RNA from 1 species